rnacentral:rRNA from 1 species
AUUGAACGCUGGCGGCAGGCCUAACACAUGCAAGUCGAGCGGAUGAAGGGAGCUUGCUCCUGGAUUCAGCGGCGGACGGGUGAGUAAUGCCUAGGAAUCUGCCUGGUAGUGGGGGAUAACGUCCGGAAACGGGCGCUAAUACCGCAUACGUCCUGAGGGAGAAAGUGGGGGAUCUUCGGACCUCACGCUAUCAGAUGAGCCUAGGUCGGAUUAGCUAGUUGGUGGGGUAAAGGCCUACCAAGGCGACGAUCCGUAACUGGUCUGAGAGGAUGAUCAGUCACACUGGAACUGAGACACGGUCCAGGCUCCUACGGGAGGCAGCAGUGGGGAAUAUUGGACAAUGGGCGAAAGCCUGAUCCAGCCAUGCCGCGUGUGUGAAGAAGGUCUUCGGAUUGUAAAGCACCUUAAGUUGGGAGGAAGGGCAGUAAGUUAAUACCUUGCUGUUUUGACGUUACCAACAGAAUAAGCACCGGCUAACUUCGUG